rnacentral:rRNA from 1 species
UCCUGACUGACCGAUAGUGAACCAGUACCGUGAGGGAAAGGCGAAAAGAACCCCGGCGAGGGGAGUGAAAAAGAACCUGAAACCGUGUACGUACAAGCAGUGGGAGCACGCUUAGGCGUGUGACUGCGUACCUUUUGUAUAAUGGGUCAGCGACUUAUAUUCUGUAGCAAGGUUAACCGAAUAGGGGAGCCGAAGGGAAACCGAGUCUUAACUGGGCGUUAAGUUGCAGGGUAUAGACCCGAAACCCGGUGAUCUAGCCAUGGGCAGGUUGAAGGUUGGGUAACACUAACUGGAGGACCGAACCGACUAAUGUUGAAAAAUUAGCGGAUGACUUGUGGCUGGGGGUGAAAGGCCAAUCAAACCGGGAGAUAGCUGGUUCUCCCCGAAAGCUAUUUAGGUAGCGCCUCGUGAAUUCAUCUCCGGGGGUAGAGCACUGUUUCGGCAAGGGGGUCAUCCCGACUUACCAACCCGAUGCAAACUGCGAAUACCGGAGAAUGUUAUCACGGGAGACACACGGCGGGUGCUAACGUCCGUCGUGAAGAGGGAAACAACCCAGACCGCCAGCUAAGGUCCCAAAGUCAUGGUUAAGUGGGAAACGAUGUGGGAAGGCCCAGACAGCCAGGAUGUUGGCUUAGAAGCAGCCAUCAUUUAAAGAAAGCGUAAUAGCUCACUGGUCGAGUCGGCCUGCGCGGAAGAUGUAACGGGGCUAAACCAUGCACCGAAGCUGCGGCAGCGACGCUUAUGCGUUGUUGGGUAGGGGAGCGUUCUGUAAGCCUGCGAAGGUGUGCUGUGAGGCAUGCUGGAGGUAUCAGAAGUGCGAAUGCUGACAUAAGUAACGAUAAAGCGGGUGAAAAGCCCG